rnacentral:rRNA from 1 species
AGAGUUUGAUCCUGGCUCAGAACGAACGCUGGCGGCAUGCCUAACACAUGCAAGUCGAACGCCAUCCUCUGGAUGGAGUGGCGCACGGGUGAGUAACGCGUGGGAACCUGCCUUUUUCUGCGGGACAACGAUUGGAAACGAUCGCUAAUACCGCAUACGCCCUACGGGGGAAAGGUCCGCCGGAGAGAGAGGGGCCCGCGUUUGAUUAGCUAGUUGGUGAGGUAAUGGCUCACCAAGGCGACGAUCAAUAGCUGGUCUGAGAGGAUGAUCAGCCACACUGGGACUGAGACACGGCCCAGACUCCUACGGGAGGCAGCAGUGGGGAAUAUUGGACAAUGGGGGCAACCCUGAUCCAGCAAUGCCGCGUGUGUGAUGAAGGCCUUAGGGUUGUAAAGCACUUUCACUGGCGAAGAUGAUGACGGUAACCAGAGAAGAAGCCCCGGCUAACUUCGUGCCAGCAGCCGCGGUAAUACGAAGGGGGCGAGCGUUGUUCGGAAUUACUGGGCGUAAAGGGCGUGUAGGCGGCUCUUUAAGUUAGGCGUGAAAGCCCCGGGCUCAACCCGGGAACUGCGCUUGAUACUGAGGAGCUAGAAAACGGAAGGGGUAGUGGAAUUCCCAGUGUAGAGGUGAAAUUCGUAGAUAUUGGGAAGAACACCAGUGGUGAAAGCGGCUACCUGGUCCGGAUUUGACCGCUGAGGCGCGAAAGCGUGGGGGAGCAAACAGG